rnacentral:rRNA from 1 species
AAAUUGAAGAGUUUGAUCAUGGCUCAGAUUGAACGCUGGCGGCAGGCCUAACACAUGCAAGUCGAACGGUAACAGGGAAACAGCUUGCUG